AUUGAACGCUGGCGGCAUGCUUUACACAUGCAAGUCGAACGGUAACAGGCCGCAAGGUGCUGACGAGUGGCGAACGGGUGAGUAAUGCAUCGGAACGUGCCCAGUCGUGGGGGAUAACGCAGCGAAAGCUGCGCUAAUACCGCAUACGAUCUAUGGAUGAAAGCGGGGGACCGUAAGGCCUCGCGCGAUUGGAGCGGCCGAUGUCAGAUUAGGUAGUUGGUGGGGUAAAGGCUCACCAAGCCAACGAGCUGUAGCUGGUCUGAGAGGAAGACCAGCCACACUGGGACUGAGACACGGCCCAGACUCCGACGGGAGGCAGCAGUGGGGAAUUUUGGACAAUGGGCGCAAGCCUGAUCCAGCAAUGCCGCGUGCAGGAAGAAGGCCUUCGGGUUGUAAACUGCUUUUGUACGGAACGAAACGGUCCUGGUUAAUACCCGGGGCUAAUGACGGUACCGUAAGAAUAAGCACCGGCUAACUACGUGCCAGCCGCCGCGGUAACAC
rnacentral:rRNA from 1 species